rnacentral:rRNA from 1 species
UACGGAGGGUGCGAGCGUUGUCCGGAAUCACUGGGCGUAAAGGGCGCGUAGGCGGCCUGAUAAGUAGGGGGUGAAAUCCUGUGGCUUAACCGCAGGGCUGCCUUCUAAACUGCCGGGCUAGAGCACAGUAGAGGCAGGUGGAAUUCCCGGUGUAGCGGUGGAAUGCGUAGAGAUCGGGAAGAACAUCAGUGGCGAAGGCGGCCUGCUGGGCUGUUGCUGACGCUGAGGCGCGACAGCGUGGGGAGCAAACAGG